rnacentral:rRNA from 1 species
AUUGAACGCUGGCGGAAUGCUUUACACAUGCAAGUCGAACGGCAGCACGGGGGCAACCCUGGUGGCGAGUGGCGAACGGGUGAGUAAUACAUCGGAACGUGCCCGGUCGUGGGGGAUAACGUAGCGAAAGUUACGCUAAUACCGCAUACGAUCUGAGGAUGAAAGCGGGGGACCUUCGGGCCUCGCGCGAUCGGAGCGGCCGAUGUCAGAUUAGGUAGUUGGUGGGGUAAAGGCCUACCAAGCCGACGAUCUGUAGCUGGUCUGAGAGGACGACCAGCCACACUGGGACUGAAACACGGCCCAGACUCCUACGGGAGGCAGCAGUGGGGAAUUUUGGACAAUGGGCGCAAGCCUGAUCCAGCCAUUCCGCGUGCAGGACGAAGGCCUUCGGGUUGUAAACUGCUUUUGUAUGGAACGAAAAGGCUCUGGCUAAUACCUGGGGCUCAUGACGGUACCGUAAGAAUAAGCACCGGCUAACUACGUG